UACGUAGGGUGCGAGCGUUGUCCGGAAUUAUUGGGCGUAAAGAGCUCGUAGGCGGUGUGUCACGUCUGCCGUGAAAACCUGCAGCUUAACUGUGGGCGUGCGGUCGAUACGGGCAUCACUGGAGUUCGGCAGGGGAGACUGGAAUUCCUGGUGUAGCGGUGAAAUGCGCAGAUAUCAGGAGGAACACCGGUGGCGAAGGCGGGUCUCUGGGCCGAUACUGACGCUGAGGAGCGAAAGCGUGGGGAGCAAACAGG
rnacentral:rRNA from 1 species